rnacentral:rRNA from 1 species
AGAGUUUGAUCAUGGCUCAGAUUGAACGCUGGCGGCAUGCCUUACACAUGCAAGUCGAACGGCAGCACGGGGGCAACCCUGGUGGCGAGUGGCGAACGGGUGAGUAAUGCAUCGGAACGUGUCCUCUUGUGGGGGAUAACCAGUCGAAAGACUGGCUAAUACCGCAUGAGAUCGAAAGAUGAAAGCGGGGGACCGCAAAGGCCUCGCGCGAGAGGAGCGGCCGAUGCCGGAUUAGCUAGUUGGUGGGGUAAAGGCCUACCAAGGCGACGAUCCGUAGCUGGUCUGAGAGGACGACCAGCCACACUGGGACUGAGACACGGCCCAGACUCCUACGGGAGGCAGCAGUGGGGAAUUUUGGACAAUGGGCGCAAGCCUGAUCCAGCAAUGCCGCGUGUGUGAAGAAGGCCUUCGGGUUGUAAAGCACUUUCGGACGGAACGAAAUCGCGCGGAUGAAUAAUCCGCGUGGAUGACGGUACCGUAAGUAGAAGCACCGGCUAACUACGUGCCAGCAGCCGCGGUAAUACGUAGGGUGCAAGCGUUAAUCGGAAUUACUGGGCGUAAAGGGUGCGCAGGCGGCCCCGCAUGUCAGGCGUGAAAUCCCUGGGCUCAACUUGGGAAUGGCGCUUGAAACUACGGAGCUUGAGUGUGGCAGAGGGAGGUGGAAUUCCACGUGUAGCGGUGAAAUGCGUAGAGAUGUGGAGGAACACCGAUGGCGAAGGCAGCCUCCUGGGCCAACACUGACGCUCAUGCUCGAAAGCGUGGGGAGCAAACAGGAUUAGAUACCCUAGUAGUCC